GGGGGUGUAGCUUAAUUGGUAAAGUUGUAGACUUAUGAUCUAUCGUUCCGGGUUCGAGUCCCGGCACCUCCA